AACGAACGCUGGCGGCAGGCUUAACACAUGCAAGUCGAGCGCCCCGCAAGGGGAGCGGCAGACGGGUGAGUAACGCGUGGGAAUCUACCCACCUCUACGGAAUAACGCAUGGAAACGUGUGCUAAUACCGUAUACGUCCUUCGGGAGAAAGAUUUAUCGGAGAUGGAUGAGCCCGCGUUGGAUUAGCUAGUUGGUGGGGUAAAGGCCUACCAAGGCGACGAUCCAUAGCUGGUCUGAGAGGAUGAUCAGCCACACUGGGACUGAGACACGGCCCAGACUCCUACGGGAGGCAGCAGUGGGGAAUAUUGGACAAUGGGCGCAAUCCUGAUCCAGCCAUGCCGCGUGAGUGAUGAAGGCCCUAGGGUUGUAAAGCUCUUUCACCGGUGAAGAUAAUGACGGUAACCGGAGAAGAAGCCCCGGCUAACUUCGUGCCAGCCGCCGCAGUAACAC
rnacentral:rRNA from 1 species